AUUUAAAUAGCUUAAGUAGAGUUUAAUAUUGAAGAUAUUAAGGUGAUUAAUUGAUCUUUAAAUA
rnacentral:tRNA from 1 species